AGCAUAUCAAUAAGCGGAGGAAAAGAAACCAACAGGGAUUGCCUUAGUAACGGCGAGUGAAGCGGCAACAGCUCAAAUUUGAAAGCUGGCCCUUUCAGGGUCCGCGUUGUAAUUUGUAGAGGAUGAUUCGGCGAGGGCUCCCGCCUAAGUCCCCUGGAACGGGGCGUCAUAGAGGGUGAGAAUCCCGUAUGCGGUGGGCUGCCUUAGCCGUGUGAAUCUCCUUCGACGAGUCGAGUUGUUUGGGAAUGCAGCUCUAAAUGGGAGGUAAAUUUCUUCUAAAGCUAAAUACCGGCCAGAGACCGAUAGCGCACAAGUAGAGUGAUCGAAAGAUGAAAAGCACUUUGGAAAGAGAGUUAAAAAGUACGUGAAAUUGUUGAAAGGGAAGCGCUUGCAACCAGACUUGUCCGCAGUUGCUCAGCCGGUCUCCUGACCGGCGUACUCUUCUGCGGCCAGGCCAGCAUCAGUUCGGGCGGUCGGAUAAAGACCUCGGGAAUGUAGCUCCUCUCGGGGAGUGUUAUAGCCCGGGGUGGAAUGCGGCCAGCCUGGACUGAGGAUCUCGCUUCGGCAAGGAUGCUGGCGUAAUGGUUGUAAGCGGCCCGUCUUGAAACACGGACCAAGGAGUCUAACAUCUAUGCGAGUGUUUGGGUGUCAAACCCAUACGCGUAAUGAAAGUGAACGGAGGUGGGAACCCGCAAGGGCGCACCAUCGGCCGAUCCUGAUGUCUUCGGAUGGAUUUGAGCAAGAGCAUAGCUGUUGGGACCCGAAAGAUGGUGAACUAUGCCUGAAUAGGGUGAAGCCAGAGGAAACUCUGGUGGAGGCUCGCAGCGGUUCUGACGUGCAAAUCGAUCGUCAAAUUUGGGUAUAGGGGCGAAAGACUAAUCGAACCAUC
rnacentral:rRNA from 1 species